rfam:Enterobacter cloacae S611 EDP2.NODE_1916, whole genome shotgun sequence.
UUACGUGACGAAGCGCGUGCCAAAGUGGACAAUAACGCCUGAGCUAUCCGUUAGCCUCCCGAACGCCGGUUAAAGCCGGCGUUUUUUA